GUUCCCCCAAUUCUUUGAUACCAAACCCUCCAGGAGAAGAACCAUCCAUCUGAGUCCAGCCCAAAUUGCAGAAUAAAUUUGAUUUAUUUAUAUUAAAUGAAUGAAUAAAUGGUCAUGGUUGAAAGAUACAACAUUUUGAGGUGGUUGGUUAGGCAGCAACAGAUAAUAGAUACAAUGAGACAUUUUCUUUGGUGUUUUGGAAAGGUUCACACACGUAUAGGAAGCCAUGGGAACCUUUGUGUUUGGGAAGGUGGAUUAUUUCCAUGGGAAAAUCCUUUCUUCUCUUACCCUCUUUAUCUAACCAACUCCUAUUCACUCUUCAGGUCUGAAAUUAGACAACUUUUCUUUGGGAAUUCUUCUCCAACUCCUGAGAUCAAGUUAUGUGUUUCUUUGAUGGGCUCAUUUGCGUACUGCUCUUUCCCUGUUAUAGUCAUUUCACACCCCAUGGUUGUAAUGCCUGCUUUCCCCAUGAGACUGAAGGCUCAACAAGGACAGGACAGAGCCUGCGUCAGUCAUUAUUGUGCUCCCAGCUUUGCCUUAGCAUGUCAGACAUGGAAAGAACUUUCUGCUUGGGUAUCUCAUCAGUCCAUCAAGUGGUUACUGAUGCCCUCACCAGGCCACCCAUUCCACUGCAGGGCAGUGACAUGUGUGACACUGUUUGACCUUAAAUGAGACAGCCUCUACCUCUGUGUGUACUUUCUGUUCAUAGGCUUACAUCCGAUCACUGAGAGCUCCCAAACAUCCCCUACAUAUUUGCAUAUUUGCAUACAGGCGCUGCGAUCUCCUUAAACAUUUCUUCUUCAGCCUACAGUAUAAGUAACAGCUGAGGCCCCUGGGGAUGUCUGGCCGGGAGUACCACCUGACCAUCCAGUUUCUCUUCUCUUGACAAUUUUCUUCUUGCCACAAUGUUGCAACAAGUACUUAGCGCCACCAGGAAGGACUUGACCAAGGUAGAGUAGAGGAAAAUUAUCACAUCCAUUGAAUACAACUUUCUUUUUUAAUAAUGCCACUUUAUGCUCAUAUUGAUUUACUGGAUAGAUGCAGCAUGCACAUUAUAAUGGCCUUGCAGCCCUCCCUCAGUAGCC
rnacentral:lncRNA from 1 species